UUCAAGCCGGCCCCGCGCAACGCGAGUCUCUUCCGGGCGGCGGGGCGGCGCGGAGCCGGCGGGGCGCGGUGCGGUGCGGUGCGGUGCGAGUUUUUGAAGAUGUCAGCAGAUAUACCAUUAAAUAUUAACAUCAAGGAGCCCCGAUGGGAUCAAAGCACUUUCAUUGGACGAGCCAGUCACUUCUUCACUGUAACAGACCCCCGAAAUAUUUUGUUAUCUGAUGCCCAGCUGGAAAGCGCAAGAAAAAUCGUGCAUGAUUACAGACAAGGUAUUGUAGCACCUGGAUUGACUGAAAAUGAACUGUGGAGAGCAAAGUAUAUCUAUGAUUCAGCCUUUCAUCCAGACACUGGUGAAAAGAUGGUCUUGAUUGGCCGAAUGUCAGCUCAGGUACCCAUGAACAUGACUAUCACAGGUUGUAUGAUGACCUUUUAUAGAACGACACCAGCAGUGGUUUUCUGGCAGUGGAUUAACCAGUCCUUCAAUGCUAUAGUAAAUUACACAAACAGGAGCGGUGAUGCCCCAAUUACUGUCAGCCAGCUGGGAACAGCCUAUGUUUCUGCUACCACAGGUGCUGUUGCAACAGCUUUAGGACUUAAUGCACUAACAAAGCAUGUCUCACCUCUUAUAGGACGGUUUGUUCCUUUUGCUGCUGUUGCUGCUGCUAACUGCAUUAAUAUUCCACUAAUGAGACAAAGGGAACUCAAGUUUGGAAUCCCCAUCACAGAUGAGAAUGGAAACAGACUGGGUGAAUCAACAAAGGCAGCUCAGCAGGCAAUUACUCAGGUGGUUAUAUCAAGGAUCCUCAUGGCUGCUCCUGGCAUGGCAAUUCCUCCCUUUAUAAUGAACACACUGGAAAAAAGAGCCUUUCUAAAGUAACUGCCAAAGAUGCCUUGAAGUCAUCUGGAAUUUAAAUCCUAAUUCGUCUGAAAUUGCCUUCUCCCUUAUUUAAAUACAUCUUUUAACAGACUAAAUUCUUCUGCUGUCUUGUACUUCUGUGUUUUUUCUUUGUAAGGAUGUGCAGCCUGCAUUUGAGACUGGCUUUAUUAUUUUGAAUCGUUCUCUAGGCAGCCAUUGACCUUCUAGUAUCAGUGUUUUACCUUACCAUUGUUCUUAAUUAGUGCCAUCUGGAAAAACUCUUGAAAAAUAAAAGCUAUAAUUCAGAUCAAGCACCUUGGCAAAAUUUCCAGCCAGUGAAAUAGGUGUUAGUAUUGUCUGUGUUCAUAGACAGUUCUCUUUUUCAGAAUCAUGACCAACUCAGAUGAAAGCUUGAAACCAAAAUUAUGAUGCCCUUCAAGUCUUUUUGGUUAUAGAAGUGUUGGGGCUUUUCUUUUAUGUAUCUUGCAGUGCAGUUCUCAGCAUCCCUCUCCUUUAAUUCUCCCUGUAUACAGGAGCCAGUUACCUUACUGAGUUUUUGUGUUCCCAGCUUAAACAUAGGAUGAUGACUUCGGUAACUGCUGUCCCUCAUCUGUGAGCUGUGAUUGGCACAGUCCCAUUUCUGAUCCUCCCCUGUCAGCCAUGGAAUCUCUUGCCAUUGGAACUCUCCCAGUAUAUAAAAAUUUAAAGCGUUUUGAGUGAUUUUAUUUCAAGUGAGAGUCAAAGGUGUAUUUAGUGAAUUGUCAGAACAAUGGAGCACAGCUGAAUUCAGUCUUUACCCUUCUUACUGUUGCUUUUUCCAUUUAUUAUCUAUUGUUGCAGUUCAUUGUUGAAUUGUGCAGUUCUUUCUGCAUUCAUUUCUGGAUUACAGGUUAACACCAGGAAGAAGAAAAGAGGAACAGUGUGUUCUACAUUUUCUCUUUCUCUCAGGCUCUGGAGAAAGCUUCAUACGCAGGCUUGGUUACCACUGCUUAGACCUUUCUUAGCACCAGCUUUAUCACACUGCCUAAAUUUUGUUCUUCUAUCUCACCUGUCAAAUACUGCCUGUCUUCUGUUCACUGGUUUCCCCUGUAACUUCUACAUCUUGAAUAAUGCCUCUUGCAGAAAAACAUCUCCAUUGUUGAGAGCAUCGCCCACCAUAACACAUUCUUACUCAUUAGCUCAUUUGUUUAAAAAUCAGCUUUCUGUUAUGUACAUUCUGCUUAUUAAAGACACUGAUUUUGCUGUAAUGGUAAAAGCCCUGUCUAGAAAUGAUAUUUGAACAGAUCUGGCUUUAUUUCAUUAGCACUCAACUAGAAUUCUAACCUGGGCUAGAGGAGGGGUUUCCUAAACCCUCCAAAGACCUACAAGUAAACUAUGCCAUUUCUUGGUGUAUGUUCAAGUUCUGCAAGAGUUACAGUACUGGAGGGUAUGCUGUAAAGAAAAAGUCUGUAUUAUGGGGUGCUUUCUCAGCUUUGUCCCCUAGCCCCCCCUAUUUUUUUCCUUAACAAGAAAUGAACACUUGCAGAACUGGACUGUACUAGGCUGUGUGCUUAAUGGUUAAAUUCCUACACAUCAAAUCAUAUCAUAAGACAGGAGGAAGGGCAAUCAGUUCCUUGAUAUCUCCCUUAUUUUUGGUUGGCAGGUGCAAUGGGCUGUUGCCCACAGAGCAGAGUGGCAGUUGUGAGUUAAAGCCAGUUGAUGGUAUUGAAGAGAGAGCUACAGCCAAACUCCCUGUGCCCUCAGGAGGUCUGCCAGCACAUGCUACCAGCACCACUCCCAACUUGCUAGCUACUGUGGGCUUACAUGACUCAGAGAGGUUCAGGUCAGGAUCAGUUCAAAAGUAAAACAGUUGGUCACCUAUUGUAGUUUCUAAGGGAUGCUCAGAAUAAGCAUAUGCUGAUAUCACUGAGAGCUUUCUUGCUAGUUGAAAGAGGUUGGGAUAAGGCUUUCAAGCCAUAGCUCAAGCUUAAGGUAUGCUUGUUUUCCUUUUAUCAUGUAAAACAGACUUUUAGGUGCAGGCUGUCCCUUCCAAUGCAAGUUUCCAAGGUGGGAAGAGGAAUAAAAGAUACUGUACUCACUGUUAUAUUUUAUUUUAAACAGAGAUUUCCGUGGAUGAGUGCUCCUAUUCAAGUUGGAUUAGUUGGAUUCUGCCUUGUAUUUGCAACUCCUCUGUGUUGUGCACUGUUUCC